GACGAACGCUGGCGGCGUGCUUAACACAUGCAAGUCGAACGGAAAGGCCCUGCUCUUGUGGGGUGCUCGAGUGGCGAACGGGUGAGUAACACGUGAGUAACCUGCCCUUGACUUUGGGAUAACUUCAGGAAACUGGGGCUAAUACCGGAUAGGAGCUCCUGCUGCAUGGGGGGGGAUGGAAAGAUUCGGCGGUUGGGGAUGGACUCGCGGCUUAUCAGCUUGUUGGUGGAGUAGUGGUUUACCAAGGCUUUGACGGGUAGCCGGCCUUGGAGGGUGACCGGCGACAUUGGGACUGCGAUACGGCCCAGACUCCUACGGGACGCAGCAGUCGGGAAUAUGGCACAAUGGGCGGAAGCCUGAUGCAGCAACGCCGCGUGCGGGAUGACGUCCUUCGGGUUGUAAACCGCUUUCGCCUGUGACGAAGCGUGAGUGACGGUAAUGGGUAAAGAAGCACCGGCUAACUACGUG
rnacentral:rRNA from 1 species